GUCUGUGUUGCUCAGUGGUUAGAGUGUCAGCUCCUGCACAGAAGGGUCAAGGGUUCGAUUCCCUGUCAAGGGCA
rnacentral:tRNA from 1 species